GCGAGAGUGGCGGAACUGGUAGACGCACUGGACUUAGGAUCCAGCGGCUCGGCCGUGGGGGUUCGAGUCCCCCCUCUCGCACCA
rnacentral:tRNA from 1 species